GGGAGUGGUUCGGUUCCCGGCGGUGAGGGCUUAGUUGAGGAGGUGAUGCCCUUAUGAUUGGGGCCCUCAAGGUCACACCCUCAGCUACUGAAGCACGACUCUCACUAAAGAGGCAUUUGAACACUGGUGCCUUGGGAGUAUUUCUGAAGUGAAUACCAUGGCUAAUUGGAUAAUUUGUGUCUUGUUUUUUCUUCAAAAAUACAUGGGCUGGACUUUCUGGUUGGACUGCAGAUCCCAUAAAGUUUGAUGGAUGUGGACUCUUACACGAUAUUUCCCAUUUCAUCCAUCAGAAAGAGGGAAGUGUGGACAGGAAAUGCCAUAUGGCAUCAUGCUUGAUAGCUUAGAACAUAAAUAAAUGCAUCCAAAUUGCCUGAGGUGCCAUUUUCAAAAGGUCCUGUUCAUCUGAAGCUUUGUCAGAUUCUAUUUUUUUUUCCCCAUAAUUUUGUUGUAAAUCCUCACUAACUGUCCUAGCGAAUCCUCUGUCAUUUUAACCUCAUGAUUCUUUAGGAAUAGUAAUAAAAAUCUUUUUCUAUUGGAUUUUACACCUAACUUUCCUAUCUGCUUCAUAUAAAUGUGGUGUGUAAUAGGACUCAACAAAGCUGCAAUAAGGAGCAAAAUGUGUGAUGAG